rnacentral:rRNA from 1 species
CGUCUAUAUACGUAUAGCAUAUCAAUAAGCGGAGGAAAAGAAACUAACAAGGAUUCCCUUAGUAACGGCGAGUGAAGCGGGAAGAGCUCAAAUUUGAAAUCUUCAAGGUUCUACCUUGACGAAUUGUAGUUUAUAGAAGUGUUUUCUGUUAGUAGAGUGGCAAAAGCUCUUUGGAAUAGGACAUCAUAGAGGGUGAGAAUCCCGUAUUUGACGUCAUUCUUUCUAGGCUGUGUGAUACACUUUCAACGAGUUGGAUUGUUUGGGAAUGCAGUCCAAAAUGGGUGGUAAAUUUCAUCUAAAGCUAAAUAUUGGCGAGAGACCGAUAGCGAACAAGUACCGUGAGGGAAAGAUGAAAAGAACUUUGAAAAGAGAGUUAAACAGUACGUGAAAUUGUCAAAAGGGAAGCGUUUGACACCAGUGUUGUUUUUCCGAAAAUCAAUUACUAAUGUUUUAGUUUUCGAGGAGUGAUGACUUCAUCGGCUUGCUUCUCUCUUCAUGAAACUUUCUGUAAUGCACUUUUCGGUUAACAAGUCAACAUCAAUUUCUUCUGUUGUAAAAGAGUAUGAGGAAGGUGGCUUUCUUUUCGGAGAAAGUGUUUAUAGCCUUGUACCUCUGCAAUCGGAGAGAUUGAGGUCUGCAGCGUAGAUCCUUCGGGGUUAGAUACAUUUGUGCUAAGUUAUAGCUUUUCAUAGACAACUUGUUGACUAUGUUAAGUCUUGUAGCUUACUCGCUUAUGCUAUUUUACCUACGCUUAGGAUGUUGAUAGUCACAGCGUGUAC